AACCACGCUGGCGGCUACUGCUGUCCAGCCCUGUGUUUUCUAAUCACUGUCACUGUGCACCUUAUCACCUCAGCCACUUACUACCAGGAGCGGGGCUGGCAUGGCUUCUCCAAGCUUUCAGUCCUUGGUCACAUGGAGGCGAGUAGAUGCUGUGGAGUUUGGAGAAAGGAGAAUAGGGAGCCAGUCUCCUGGGUUGGAAUGGUUCUUCUGUGAUCUGUUUCCUAUGGGCCACAUCCUACACCUUGCAGUGGGUAAUCUUUGCCUCUCUUUGCCUUCCUAUGUCUGCAGCAAACCUUUAAAAAGUGUUCACUCUCUCAGAUCUUUAUGAUAGUUACCUUGCUUCAGGAUGAUGCUAUCAAAUGCUCUCUGUGUAUGUGUAUAUAACCUUAUUGUCUUAUGCAUUCCACAAGUGGUACAGUGUCUCGUGUGCCAUUUUAAAAAUCAUGGUUGGCUUUGGGUGUUUUAGUACACCUGUACUGAGAAAGCAAACAUUAUUCUUGAAUCAACAGCCUUCAGCUAAAAAAGAUGCAUUGGAGGAGAAAGAAAGAAGGGGAAACCCAAGGUGUGGCAUGGAGCCAAGAUGUACUGUCUAGUGUCACAGUUCUGUUUAUGAAAAACACAUAUCAUGUAACCAUGGUGCUUUUGUUCUUAGUUUUUGCCUCUAGCUCCCUUCAGACUGGAAGUUCCUUAUGACAUCUUUCUCAGGAAAUACUUUGGGAGAUAGGGGUCUCACCUUGUUGCCCAGGCUGAACUCGAACUCAUGGUCCUCCUGCCUCAGCCUUCCAAGUAAUUGGGAAUACAGGUGUGUGCCACUGCCAGUUCAUUUCUUAUUUUUACAGUAGAUUCAUUCUAGGUUUUAAUUAAAUGGCAAACUCCUCUGGUCUAAAUUAUGCCAUGCUUAACCAAAUUUAAUUUGCAAGAUACCAUUCAUGAACUGUUUCAUAGAGAACCUGGCACCAGCAAGGAUGAGAUGGGGAACAUAAACUGACUCUCUGGGGCAGUGAAUUUAACGCAUUUCUUGGAUGUCUGCAUCCUCAAUGAAGGUGUUAGUGAGAAAACCAGAGAGGCCUGGGCCAGGUCUUACUUGAGAGGUUAUUUCACAAUUGCCUUUGUUAGCAAGACUUUACAGUUUUGAAUUUUGAGUGCAGCAUUCAUCCAGAAAGUUCAGUGAUGAAACCAUCAGUCUCUGUGUGCUGGAGUCAACUGUGAAAAAGUGAUUGGAUUCCUUUUGUGCUGUUUCUGAUUACUAGUUACUACUGCAUGUUACCAGGAAGGACAUGUUUGCUAACUAACCUCUGCUUACCUGUCACCAAAUGCGUAUGACAGUCUAAGUAAUGUGUUGCUGUAUUAACUGGGCGUGGGCUCUAGUGGGACAUUUCUGAACAUGUGAGUGAAUUACACUACCAGCAACCAUCCGUACAAGUCCAUUUUCCUAUUUCCAUAAAGUUUAUGCUAUGAAACUUCUUCUCACUGUGAUAGGAUCUGUCAUGGACACAGUGUUCCUGGUAUCUAAGUUAUUUUGUUCUCUUUUGGGUCCUCCAGUUAUAGCCCUUCUCCAUCCCAAUUAACUAUAAC
ensembl:lncRNA